rnacentral:rRNA from 1 species
GACGAACGCUGGCGGCGUGCUUAACACAUGCAAGUCGAACGGAAAGGCCCUGCUUUUGUGGGGUGCUCGAGUGGCGAACGGGUGAGUAACACGUGAGUAACCUGCCCUUGACUUUGGGAUAACUUCAGGAAACUGGGGCUAAUACCGGAUAGGAGCUCCUGCUGCAUGGUGGGGGUUGGAAAGUUUCGGCGGUUGGGGAUGGACUCGCGGCUUAUCAGCUUGUUGGUGGGGUAGUGGCUUACCAAGGCUUUGACGGGUAGCCGGCCUGAGAGGGUGACCGGCCACAUUGGGACUGAGGUACGGACCAGACUGCUACGGGAGGCAGCAGGGGGGAAUAUUGCACAAUGGGCGGAAGCCUGAUGCAGCAACGCCGCGUGCGGGAUGACGGCCUUCGGGUUGUAAACCGCUUUUGCCUGUGACGAAGCGUGAGUGACGGUAAUGGGUAAAGAAGCACCGGCUAACUACGUG